AUGCACUGGGGGCCUGGAGGCUGGCAUCUGAGGGCCGGGUGUGCUGGGAGCAGGGUGGAGGAAGCAGAGAAGGUUGGGGGUCUCCUGCGCCAGGAUAGCAAGGGCCAGAUGGGACCCCUUGAGUCGCUCCCCGCCCCCCAGACACGGAGCAGAGGAAACUGGUGCAGCUGGGCCAGGCUUGUGGUGAGACCACUGUUGCUCCUUUGCUUCCUAGAGAAUCUUGAUGCUGGCCCAGAGCAGACACUGAGCUGGACUACGGGAGCCUCGCCAGGAAGGAGGCCGUCUGAUGCCCUUGAGGAAAUCCCCGGCAGCCCCGGUGAGCCAGGGGUCCUGGGGCUCUCUGCAAAACAGGAAGCGCCCGUUCCAGGAACACUAGCCACAGGAAGCUUUGCUGGCUGUGCCUGGCGCCUCCUCAACAGUGGCCUGAGCUCCCUGGUCAGGUGGGUCACCCUUUGCUCCGGGACCUGGCCUGGCAGGUCACCUGAGGCUUUGUUUGGCCGGGAAGUGGAGGGGAGCUGCGGCCUCUGGAGUGUGACCCAAGUCCCUCCUACCACCCCAGGUGACCUGGGCUUGGUAUGGGUGGGGGGUAAGUUUGCAGCCCUGGGAUUUAAGCCUCACUUUGCCCACCACCCAGAGGGGUCCUGGGGCAGGGAGCCUGGGUCUGGCCCAGCUCUCCUUGGUGACUCACAGUGCUACUGAGCAGGUACGGUGUCCCAGACCUGGCAGGGCCCUGGGGCAGAGGGCAGGGCUGGGCUCCUGCCCUAAUGGACUAGUCAAAUGGAUGUGAACCGGAGAGAGACCGGAGCAUUCUUUUUGUGCACUGUGACCCCUCUGCCUCUUGGGUCCCCCCAAGGCUGUGAGUUAGCAGGGCUGAGGGAGGGGCUGGGGUUUUGAGUCAAGCUUUUUUACAACAGGGGUGCCCCAGAGCUCCCCCACUUGGUCAGCUAAGUGUUCAAGCCCUGGUCCAGACCAGUAGAGGGGCCCUGGGCUCCUUGGGUCCACGUGGGGCGAUCCAUCCGGACUGCUGCCAGGGUGGCCUGGGCUCCGGUCCCGCCCCCACGCCCCACCCCCGCCCGCCCGCAGUCCCUCCCUGGGCCCCGGGAACAUUCCAUUCAUUCCGGGCUCCGGCAGGCGGCGGGUGGGAGCCAAGCAGGGCCAGGGGGCUGGGGUCGCAGCGGCGGUGGCGGCGGCUCCGGGACUCCGGGUGAGCGGGGAGCCAGGUGGGGGAGGGCCAGCCUGGCAACGAGACUGAGGGGCUAGGAAGUCCGCCCUCGCCCUCACCCUCGCCCUGGCCCUGGCCCUCACCCUGGCCCGCGCCCUAGCCGGCGCCACUGAGUGGACUUUGAGCCCAGACUGGGCCCUAAGCGUGGGGGCGGGGGAGGGGCCAGGGGGCGGGUCCUCCAGCCCAGGCCCUUUCCUUCCCGGGGAGGGGGGGAGGGAGGGAGGGGGGGAGGGACCAGCGGCAGUGACCGUGCCAGCUGGUGCCCAAGCGUUCAGGGCCUCUUGGUGCGCCUGGGUCUGUGUGGUCUCAGAGUCCGGGGCAUCUCCCAAACCCUGAUCUCCUCUCCCCACAGAUGGGCAGCUGAGACCAGAGAGGAGUCUGUGCUGGGGGGGACCCCCUGCCAUUCUGUGGGAUGACCUCAGGGGUUGUGACAUCCUAACUGACCAAAGUCUCCCCAGUCUAGCUACCCUUAUCAGG
ensembl:lncRNA